UUGUGCAUUCUUCUCUUGUCCAAUCAGAGUGUGACACACCCUUUCUGUUGGGAUUAAAAGAGGCGGGAAAGUUCACCUUCCUUUCAGAUUCUGCUGUGCUCAUCUUGGUGGUAGGAGCUAGUCUUUUAAGGCCUUCAGCUGCCAUUCUUUUGCUUUAUUCUGAGCAAUGGAAGAGUCGUACAAAUAUUCAGGAGCCUAGCUAUUUUUGAGGUGUAAAAAAACAUGAAUUUUCUGGAUGACCUGUGUAAAACCAACCAGGAAAUGUGGCAAACGUGGGCAGCGGAGGGCCGAGAAAAGAGAGAGAGGCGGCGGCGGUGGAGGAGAAGGAUAAACGACAAUCUGAUCCGAGUCCUUCGCUCCGACGCGGAGGCAGCCUUUGUGAGAGGGUGCCGUGGAAAAUUGCAGCUCCAAACUGCAUCGAUCGCCUCCGUUUGCGCGACACAUGCUCGCAGCCUCAUUCUCAGGUUCAGAGACAUCCUUAUUGGGGUCUUAUCUCUCCCUAACACACACACACACACACACACACUCGCUCACUCGUUCUGGUAAAUCUGCAGCAUUAGACCCAAGGAAAAAAGGGUGUGCAAAUUCCCCCCCCCCCAGAGGUGUCAACAGCAUCAGCCGCAAUAAUAUAGACAUCAAUCCGGCCUGCAUUAUUUAUGCCGUUCGGGAAGCUGGGAAAAUUGAGAGGGUAAAGAGGGGUGUGGUGUGGUGGUUAACAUCGGUCUGCAAGGUAACCAAAAUGAAUAUUUAGGUUUUUCAUUCAUAUACCUGUAGAACAUUUAGGCGAUAAGGCUCACGAUGCAAAAUGAUGCAGUGUUGGCUUGUUUUUCGUUGGAUCUGGCUAGGGUUGACAGAAGGCUGUUUUUAAAAAAAAAUUGUCAAAUUAUUUGUGUGGUUUGUGAUCUCGACCGGACAAUGUAAUGUUGCUCCCAGCAAUUGAUGGGAGAAAUAUUUACCGGUAUUGACUUCUGAAUUUGCAUGUAAGUGAUUUGGUCGCAUACUCAGGGUUGAAUUGGAGGGGUUUAAGAUGGAGGAGGGGACUUCUUUGAUGGUAAACACAGGCUAAAUAAUCCUGCAUAGUAAACUUUGACAUGUGCCCAAUCACCCCCUGGCCCGAUAGCCUGUUAUUUGUGUGGAGACUGAAAACAGCGGGAAUAUGAAUAAUAUUAACUAAUGCUGUAUAUUAGCUAGCUAAAAUACCUGCUUGCUCACUACUAUUGUAAGUCAAUUAGCGUAAGUGCUAAGCAAAUUAAUAAUUUGAUAAAAAGAAAAAAGUAAAGCAAAUGAAGCUUUGGAGGACGUAGGUAUGCUCAUAAUUAGUCGUCUGGAGCUGGCUGGUAGUCUCCAGUAGUGGUGCCUCAUGCAUUUCAGUUUCCAGAUCUUUAGGCAAAUGGAGUAGGAUGUCUCAAUGUGUGUGUGUGCACGGGGAGGGUGGCGGGGGACGUGGGGGAUUUCAGUGGCAGAGCUAAGUGUAGGAAGGAUGAAUGAAAUCGUGUUAGCAGCAUGAAAGCUCUGCUCAAAUCAAAUUUCCAGCAGCUUACCAACAAUCAAAUAGACAGAGAGACAGGUUAUUACCAGUUUUGGCAUUCCAAUUCAUAGCAUUACAUAAAGUACUGAAUAUAUGUCCAUUAGCAUACGGGUGCAGACUGGGUUAUGUAAACAGAAUUCACAUGUAACAAAAUGUAGCGUACAGAUAAGACCUCUCAAAGGUGUCCUUCUGACUUGUAAUUGGAAAGGGUGAUAUAUCAGAUUAAAGUCUACUGGUUUGUUGGCUUUUUCUAGGAACUGUUGCCACACAAAAUGUUUUCAAAGGUUUUUUUUUUUUUCUUUUGAUUGAAAUUCGGGAGGAACAUGAUGAAAGCAGAGGCAAUGUUGAAAGGUGUAGCUGUACCCAUUGGAGUGAAAAAGAAUUAAUAAAAACAGAAAUUGAAAUAC